UACAGAGGGGGCAAGCGUUGUUCGGAAUUACUGGGCGUAAAGGGCGCGUAGGCGGCCCGCUAAGUCGAACGUGAAAUCCCCGAGCUCAACUCGGGAACUGCGUCCGAUACUGGUGGGCUUGAAUCCGGGAGAGGGAUGCGGAAUUCCAGGUGUAGCGGUGAAAUGCGUAGAUAUCUGGAGGAACACCGGUGGCGAAGGCGGCAUCCUGGACCGGCAUUGACGCUAAGGCGCGAAAGCUAGGGGAGCAAACGGG
rnacentral:rRNA from 1 species